CCGUUGGUGAACCAGCGGAGGGAUCAUUACCGAGUCAUCAACUCCCAAACCCCUGUGAACAUACCACAACGUUGCCUCGGCGGGACCGCCCCGGCGCCCCUAGCGGCCCGGAACCAGGCGCCCGCCGGAGGACCCAAACUCUUGCUUUGAACAGUGGCAUACUCUCUGAGUCUCAAAAACAAAAAUAAAUUAAAACUUUCAACAACGGAUCUCUUGGCUCUG
rnacentral:misc_RNA from 1 species